rnacentral:rRNA from 1 species
CCCUUAGAUGUUCUGGGCCGCACGCGCGCUACACUGAUGCAUUCAACGAGCCUAUCCUUGGCCGAGAGGCCCGGGCACUCUUGUGAACCUGCAUCGUGACGGGGCUAGAUCUUUGCAAUUAUGGAUCUUCAACGAGGAAUGCCUAGUAGGCGUUGGUCAUCAGCCAGCGUCGAUUACGUCCCUGCCCUUUGUACACACCGCCCGUCGCUUCUACCGAUUGGACGCUGCGGUGAAGACCUGGGAUUGAGAAGGGGGGUUUGGAGGUUUUCGGAUUUCCAGCCCCUCGUCCCGAGAACUCGUCUGAACCCCAUCGUCUAGAGGAAGAAGAAGUCGUAACA